rnacentral:rRNA from 1 species
GCCGGGGACUCAUAGGAGACUGCCGGGGUCAACUCGGAGGAAGGUGGGGAUGAGGUCAAGUCAUCAUGCCCCUUAUGUCCAGGGCUUGAAACAUGCUACAAUGGCUGGUACAAAGGGCUGCAAUACCGCAAGGUGGAGCGAAUCCCAUAAAGCCAGUCUCAGUUCGGAUUGGGGUCUGCAACUCGACCCCAUGAAGUCGGAGUCGCUAGUAAUCGCAGAUCAGCAAUGCUGCGGUGAAUACGUUCCCGGGCCUUGUACACACCGCCCGUCAAGUCAUGAAAGUCGGUAACACCCGAAGCCGGUGGCCCAACCCUUGUGGAGGGAGCCGUCGAAGGUGGGACCGGUAAUUAGGACUAAGUCGUAACAAGGUAGCCGUACCGGAAGGUGC